rnacentral:rRNA from 1 species
UACGAAGGGGGCUAGCGUUGCUCGGAAUCACUGGGCGUAAAGCGCGCGUAGGCGGACUCUUCAGUCGGUGGUGAAAUCCUGGAGCUCAACUCCAGAACUGCCUUCGAUACUGAGAGUCUCGAGUCCGAGAGAGGUGAGUGGAACUGCGAGUGUAGAGGUGAAAUUCGUAGAUAUUCGCAAGAACACCAGUGGCGAAGGCGGCUCACUGGCGCGGUACUGACGCUGAGGUGCGAAAGCGUGGGGAGCAAACAGG